rnacentral:rRNA from 1 species
CGAAAGCCUGACGGAGCAACGCCGCGUGAGGGACGAAGGCCUCUGGGCUGUAAACCUCUUUUCUCAAGGAAGAAGACCUGACGGUACUUGAGGAAUAAGCCACGGCUAAUUCCGUGCCAGCAGCCGCGGUAAUACGGGAGUGGCAAGCGUUAUCCGGAAUUAUUGGGCGUAAAGCGUCCGCAGGCGGCCUUUCAAGUCUGCUGUCAAAGCGUGGAGCUUAACUCCAUUUCGGCAGUGGAAACUGAUGGGCUUGAGUGUGGUAGGGGCAGAGGGAAUUCCCGGUGUAGCGGUGAAAUGCGUAGAUAUCGGGAAGAACACCAGUGGCGAAAGCGCUCUGCUGGGCCAUAACUGACACUCAGGGACGAAAGCUAGGGGAGCG